GGAAGUAAAAGUCGUAACAAGGUUUCCGUAGGUGAACCUGCGGAAGGAUCAUUAACGAUUGCUACACAUGCAAAGACCAAAAACGCACGAUUCUGUUGUCUCAUUCGAUUUAACUCGAAAAACUCCUGACUAGUUCAGGAAGGAUGAUGCCGCUCUCGCGCAAGCGAAGAAGUGGCCAUCGUGGUCGUUGUGCGUCAAGCGCUGCGAACGAUGUAAAACAAACAACCGAUGGCCCCUUAUAAAGUAUAAUAUCUCUCGCCAUGGUAUACAGGCCUGGCAUCUGGUACGAGUCUCUCGCAGUCUCAAAACCAACCUUACAACUCUGAGCGGUGGAUCACUUGGCUUGUGGAUGCUAUGAAGACCAUAGCUAAGUGUGAGAAUGGCAGCGAGCCGUCGCUAUAUGCGCUGUCCUCUUCUUAUCACAUGUCGAAUGCACAUUGCGCCCCACCCAGCGGUCGGCUAACAACCUGCAGACAAAAGCCUGUGAGUUGGAACAAAGGCAAGUGUGUGGCCCUCGAGCAACGGCGGGGGAGCCAGGAGCACAUGAGCGUGCGGACCAACUACUCGUGAGUAGUCAGGCUGACCCUAUGGUGGGGCACUCCUAGUCGAGUGUGGUGGAUCGGGCUCAAAUCUCUUAUUGCGCGUAUGCGCGAUUGAGUUUGAGUUUCUUUUUUUGCUUGUGGCUAUUUGGGUCGACAUCAGUCGUGCCCGUAAACAACUGCCUUGGCUCGUGCCUCUGUGCGUAUUACCUCUCGCAGGUGCGUGCAUUGAAAGGCCAUAGCUGGCGAUCACUCUUGCGGCCAGGGCCCUACCUUUGCGGUAGGGCGCAGAGGUCCAAAAGGAUAUGGUAAUACAAGAUGUCGGGUCUCUAGUACUCUAUACCUUCUUGCACACUGAGUAAGGAGAGACUACGCAGUCUCCUUCUCAGAAGAGGCGUUUUUUUUUUUUGGCUGGCUGACAAAGGAUCGUCACUCGUACUACUCGAGAUUGACGUGAGGACUCACAAAUCUGUUGCACACACACACAAAAGCAUGCUGGUUGACUCUUAACACUCCUGACGAGUUCAGGAAGGAUUUUUUCUAGAUGAGGCGUUUUCGAAAGUGUGAAAAAAGCAACAGAUAAAUUCCUAUCGAUCAUUCUGAAGGUUGUUGUUGUUGUUGGGCCUGUGCAAGCGAUGGUAACAGAGAGAGACCCUGAGUAUUUCCAAUAGCCACCACCUCGACUUAGGAGAGGCUACCCGCUGAACUUAAGCAUAUCAGUAAGCGGAGGAAAAGAAACCAAUCAGGGAUUCCCUUAGUAGGGGCGACCGAACAGGGAUGAGCCCAGCGCAUAACCUCCCGGGCCACCCGGCCUGCGGCGGAAUGUUGCGUUAAGGGAAAGGUCGUAGUCAAACCCCACAGCCACGCGAACUCUAAGUAAGUCACGAAUUGGCUAUCCCAACUAACGGCGGGAAAAUCUCCACGGAGGGUGUAAGACCCGUGUGGGCGCGUGCAAAUGCUGUGUGGGUUCGGCCUCUUUUCCCUGAGAGUCGCGUUGCUUGAGCAUGCAGCGCUAAGCAGGUCGUAAACUCGAUCUAAGGCUAAAUAUGUCCACAAGACCGAUAGCGAACAAGUACCGUGAGGGAAAGUGAAAAGCACUCUGAAGAGAGAGUCAA
rnacentral:rRNA from 1 species